UUUCCGUAGGUGAACCUGCGGAAGGAUCAUUAUUGAAACUUGAAUCGUAGCAUCGAGAACUGUUGCUGACCUGUUAAAAGGUAUGUGCACGUUCGACGUGUUGCGUUCUAUUCAUCCACCUGUGCACCUUUGUAGACUUGAUUAACUUUCGCUCUCGAGCGGUUAGAAGGGUUGCCUUCGAGCUCCCUUUGUCUAUCAAGUCUAUGUCUAUAUAAUCUCUUGUAUGUCUAGAAUGUCUUGUUUAUGGGACGCAAGUCCUUUAAAUCUUAUACAACUUUCAACAACGGAUCUCUUGGCUCUC
rnacentral:misc_RNA from 1 species